GAGGGAGGUUGGGGAGGUGGCUCAGGCAUUGAAAAAACUCUGCAAGAGGUUCUCAUAAGCAUCCAGGGUUGAGCCCCUGCCAACUUCUGUGUAAGCAAGUGUGGUCAGCGGGAUUGGGAAGCCGUAUCAGGAUUGUGCCCCUUUCUGCUCCCCCGCACCGGGCCCCACAGCGCUGUGCUCUUUCUUCUACACCCCACCCCCACCCCCCGCACACACUCUGACCCCUGGAGCUGCCCCUGACAAAAGUCGAGCCUCCUAUUCUCUAGAGCUGAAAACCUCAGCAGCGUUUAAGGUCUCAUCCCUGGGUCCUCCUCCCCCAUGUUCAGACAGGGGUUCUUGUCAGCUGGUUGUCUUGGGGUGGUGCGGCCUCGAACCCAGAACCUUGUGGUGGAGAACCUUACCCAGAGAGGAGGGCAAGGAGACGCGAGACCCGCUUCCCCGUCUCUGACUUCCUAGGCCCGGAGGUGAGGCUGCUGUCCCCGCCCCCUCCACUUGCAGCCUCUGCCCUGCGCCCCUUCUAGAACAGUUCAGCCGUGGCGGGAAGUGGAGUAACAUCCUGCUCACCGUGAUGGGGCAGCUGGACAGUCCCGGGUCAGCCUCAGAGCUGGGGGUCUGAUUGGGCAUCUGAGUACCCCUGGCUCUCAUUGGCAACAAACCAGGAACUCAAGAGAGCCCGGAGGCUGAGCCCUGGCAUCCUUCAUCCCUCCUGGGUGGCCUGGUCUAUGGGCUGGACCCUGUCCUGUUUCUUCCCCUGUGACCUCUGCCCGAUCUCCUUUCACCUUCUCCUCCACAACAGAAUCUCUUAUUUCGUGAUAUACUGAGACUUGGAAAAUGGAAGCGGGCCCACCUCCCUGGAUCUCAGAAAGGCCCAGGGAACCAGAAAGAAACGAAGAGAGCACAUGAGGCUCCUGGCAAGCCGAGGACACACAUUUGGUUCCACAUUCUUUCUUUCUUCUUUUUUUGAGGAAGACUAGCCCUGAGCUAACAUUCGCUGCCAAUCCUCCUCUUUUUGCUGAAGAAGACUAGCCCUGAGCUAACCUCCGUGCCCAUCUUC
rnacentral:lncRNA from 1 species